rnacentral:rRNA from 1 species
UACGUAGGGGGCAAGCGUUGUCCGGAAUUAUUGGGCGUAAAGCGCGUGUAGGCGGCUCGGUAAGUCUGCUGUGAAAGUCCAGGGCUCAACCCUGGGAUGCCGGUGGAUACUGUCGAGCUCGAGUCCGGAAGAGGCGAGUGGAAUUCCUGGUGUAGCGGUGAAAUGCGCAGAUAUCAGGAGGAACACCAAUGGCGAAGGCAGCUCGCUGGGACGUGACUGACGCUGAGACGCGAAAGCGUGGGGAGCAAACAGG